UUCCGUAGGUGAACUGCAGAAGGAUCAUUG
rnacentral:rRNA from 1 species